CACACCAAUAAGAGUUUUCAAGAACAUGAAGUCAAGUGGUCUACCAUACCCAAAUAACCAACCUAUGAGGGUGUAUGCAAGUCUAUGGAAUGCAGAUGAUUGGGCAACAAGAGGUGGACUUGUUAAAACUGAUUGGUCCAAAGCACCAUUCAUAGCCUCACUUAGAAAUUUCAAAGCCAAUGAUGCAUGUGUUUGGGAAUUUGGAAAAUCAUCAUGCACAAAUUCAACAAUGCCAAAAUGGUUCUCUCAACAACUUGAUUCAACAAGUCAAGCUAGGUUACAAUGGGUGCAAAAGAACUAUAUGGUUUAUAAUUAUUGUAAUGAUAUUAAGAGGUUCCCUCAAGGUCUUCCUCUCGAAUGCACUUUCAACUCUACGACCGGUUAAAACUGCCUUAUUCUAAGUGUUUAAUCCUUUAAAAAUGUAUUAUUUUUGGAGGAUAAGAUAUUUGACCGUCAAUAUUUUUGAAGAAUCUGAUCAGCAACAUUUAUUAGUUCAUAGGUAUUGUUAAUUAAUUAUCAUAUUCCUCUUGUAAUUUAUGAGAUUCAUUUUUAUAGACGAUAAAUUUUGGAAUAGGAUCAUGUAAUAAGAUGUAAUGUUACACGAAUGUGACAAUUGCAGUGCAUAUAGCAAUUCUUUUGCCUUUUUUUUUCUUUGAGAGUUUUGUAAUAAAUGAAGUUUGAUUCAGAUUUUGUUUGACAUAUGUUGCUUUAAUAGGUAAACAAUAAUACCAUUAAAAUUUAAGGUAGGGUAUAAAUAGCAUUAUAAUUUUAAGAUAAUUAAUUUCAAAAUAGUUAAUAAAUUGUCUUAACCAGGUAGGGUCGACCCAAAUAAAUCGGUGGUCUAAGGCGAAAAUCAAACAGAGGCCUUAAAUUUUCAAGAUUUUUUUUUAUUUUAUACAAUUUAUAUUUUAAAUCUCGAUAUGCAAAGUUGUAAUUAUUAUAGUCGAUUUUUUAUAAUAAUUUUUUUCAUUAAUAUAAAUAAUGUAUUUGAUCUUUCUUGAGACAUAUUUUAAAUACAUCAAAAUUCUUCUAUAAUUCUUUACUUUUAUAUAGUGCAUCCAUGUUUGACACACUUGUACUUAAAGUUAUCUGAACUGCAACUUGUGGAUGCCAGGUUGUAUUCUUGUUUGUGGAAGAGUCCAAGGAUGUUCAAAACUUCUUGUCACCUUUAUAGGGUUGGACAAUUUGAAGUAUCUUGUGGGACUCUUGGGAGCAUGCUUGAUAUCAUGGGUAUAGAGAAACAAUUGUGCCUUAUGGUUCCUAGGAUAAAGGUAAUCUUACCUUUUGUAUCUAGUGAUGCCAUUACAAUCAUGGUGGCUUCCUUACCUCUUGAUUAAAACAAAGGAUGUUUGGUUAUAUCUCAAGUGUGUACCACCUUGGCAUGAUGAUGUUGUUUGUUGUACAAACCCUAACCCUCGUGCCACGAGAAUUUUGUACUUGUUUUGCCCUUUCUUUGUUCUUGCAAAGUGUAGAUUCGAGGUCCUUUUCAAGAAGGGGAGGAUGAUACGAGCCAAAUGACCAUCCUAGCUUUGGAAGACAUCAUUCGAGGCCAACACAUGAAGGAUCCGAUUGUGGUCGCAUUGAGGGGAAGAGAGCAUGCAUAGAGAGGCCAUUUCGAGCAUUCCAUGAGGCAAAGUCGCAUAUGGAAGGUGGCUUGGGGGAUGCUUGAAGAACCACGACCAUGGAGCAUUCAAAAGCACCUUCAUUAAGGGUUUUUAGGGAUUUCGCAUGCCCAAUUUACACUCCAUAGGCAUCCACCCUUCAUUAAGAGUAUUUUGGUCUUUUGUCCUUCAAUUAUAAUAAGACUAUAUAUAGUUUAGUAUUAGGGCUUUUACUCCUUGGUUGUUUAUUGAUGUAAGACUUUGAAACAUUGUAACAAACUCUCUCUAGUGUGAGGAGUGUAACACCUUUAGUUGUAGGGCUUGGAAUAGCCACCAAACCGAAAUGAGGGCACCAAGUGUGAAUAUCGUUUGUGUUGCAAUCGUUGGCUUGAAACAUUGGUGCUAGAGGAGGUAACGUCCCUCUUGUGUCUACGUAGGAGAUUGGUGAUAGUUUGUGUAGAUUGUAAGAAUCCUUAGGUUUGAUACAUCUUAGGGUUCUUGGAGUUUAUACACUCAUUUGUCAAUCUAUCUAUCCUUUAAUAUAUUGCAUUUCGUUUCUUGUUGUGUUUGUGCCCUUGUUUCCGUCUUUGUGUUCUUCUUGUUCUAGCCGAUCGAGUUUGUGGACUUUUUGGGUGCUUGUUGGACCGUUUGGUAUUAUGGCCUAACCGUAGUCAUGCCAAGACUGUCGUAACAUGAUCAAGAGGAUGAGUCUCAUGUGAUGCUCAUACGAGAAAUUCCCACGAUCGUACAUCGAUCAUACGAUCGUAUUAUCUGAUCGUGAAAAGGGUGAUAAGCAAAACUUAACCAGUAAAAAUGAACCAAGGGAGUAUUAUUCAUUGGUUAUUAGAAUUUUCUAAGUGAGCCAAUAGAAUUCCCUAGAGUUUUCGCCCUCCCACUUGCAUAUAUAUCCCCCAUAGAAAUGAUCAAUUAUAUUAACAAAUGUAGAAAAAAAAAAUUAUAUCAGCCCUCUAAAUUAAUAUUUAUCUAAUUAUAAACUUUUAUUUAUAUUAUCGUUGUAUAGAAAUUGAACAUUACCCCGAUAUAUAUAUAUAUAUAUUGCUUUAAAAGAACUUAUCUUCAAAUCAAAGUAUCCCUUAGUUUUUUACUAUCCCCUUCAAUUUCAUCAUCGAUGAACUACUUAACAACUACAAUUUGACAUUUUAAAAGUAAAGCUUAUCACUUAAUAUGACACAAGAAGAGGGGUUAAAAGUUAAAACUUACUGCAAAAACCGAACCGAUCGAUAAAUCGAACCGAUAAAAAUGUUAUUGGGUUAUCGGGUUAACAGUUUUUUAUUGGUUUUAUAAAAAAAUUUAUUGGGUAAACGGUUCGGUAUUGGUUUUAGCUUAUUGAGUUAAGAAUACACUAAGUUAUUGUUUUAUCCCUAUUUAUGUUAUAUAUUUAAAUAUCUCUCUCUUUAUCUAUAUAUAUAGAAAGAGAUGUGUAUGUAUAUAGAUUAUAUGCAUUACUAAUUCAUAAUUCAGUGAUUCACAAAGUAUUAACCUAUUCAGGGCAAUAGAGGCACAAUAUAAAGUACGGCUAUUAUCGUAAUAAAAAGCUUGUAGCAUUUAUAGCUUCCAACAAUUAGGAUUUAAUUUUUUUCCUAACUAACAUUCAGUUCAAAUUUGAAGAUUAUUGUAAACUAAAAUGCAUUCCGUAGGUUUUGACGGUAAUUAAGAUUUCAUUUUUUUAUGUUAGUUGUUACUAUUUCUAUUAUAUAAGUAUUUUCUUAUUGGUUAAACCGAACUGUUAAGGACCAAAAAUCGAUAAAUCGAAACCGACAAGAAAAUAUCUUAUUGGUUGGUUAUUGGCUUUACAUAUUUAAAAAACAAAAAUCGAUAAACCGAACCAACACAUAAAAUCGAACCAAACCGAUCGAUGCACACCCCUAACUUACACGAAUUUGGUGUAUACAUCAAAUCAAUAUGUGUAUGUCAUAUAUUUAAAUUUAAAAUUUAUGAAAUUUAUUCAUGAUUAAUUAGUAUUUAUUUAAUUUAAUUAUUUAAUUAUAAUAAAAAUAUUAAUUUAAUAUAUACAUCGAAUGUGUGUAAGUUUUUAUUCUUUUCUAAGAUAAUUAAAAAAGGUUUAAACCGUGUUACUUGAAUUAGAAAUUAGAAAUUUGUUUUCAUGAUGAUGUGUAUAUAAUGAUACUGAACUUUACCAUAAAAUUAAGCCACGUCAGAUUCAUAGGGCCCACCCAUAAAGUAUUUGCCAGCUGUCGUACUCCAUUACCAAAAUGGUCCCUCCAAUUUCUAAGAACUUUGUUUUUGGUCCUAACAACUUUUCAUCCCUGUAUAUAGUAACCUAUGUAUACAAAGUUACAUACAACCUUUGACUUGAGAAAAACAAACACUAAAUAUUGAACCAAUUCAUGGAUUCUUCAUUAACUCAAUGUUUGUUCUUUCUUGUCUUAUGCUCUUUGCAUUAUAGUUUGGUUAAUUCUAACAAUUUUAAUCAAGAUUUUGAUGUUACAUGGGGUAAUGAUAGGGUAAAAGUUUUAAACAAUGGGGAACUCCUUACCCUCUCACUUGACAAAGCCUCUGGUUGUGGUGUUCAAUCCAAGAACGAGUUUUUGUUUGGAAGCUUCGAUAUGCAGCUUAAACUCGUGCCUGGAAAUUCAGCUGGUACAGUUACUACAUACUAUGUAAGUAUUAUGUCUAAAGUUUGACUUUUGUUAAUUUUUUUAAUUAUUAUAUUAUGCUUACUAGUGAUGCGUCAUAUAUUUAAUGCAUAAACCAUACAUAAAUGUGUCUUUUAAUUUGGCUUCAACUUUCAUGUAUGCCGUUUAUCUUUGUGUGUGCAUAAGCAGGCAGUUAAACUUGUAUAAAGUUAAACAAAUAGAUGUAUGUAUUCUAUGUGACAUCCUACGUGGCUAAUUCAUGACCUACAUGGCGUCCUACGUGUAUUAUGCCACAUAGAUGCUUGUGUCUACUUGUUCAAUUUUAUAAAAUUUUAAGUGUGUACUUGUACACAUUCAAAGUUGGAGGUUAUAGAUAUAUACUGAGGCAGGGGCAGCGGAGCUACCCUUUGACGAGGUGUUCAUCUGAACUUCCUUCGGUAGAAAAUUAUACUAUUUAUAUAUUAUUAAAAUUAGUGUUUGUGUUUAUAUAGUAGAUGUUGAACCCCCUCUAAGUUAUCCACAUGCUAUCUCUGAACCCCUUAGUGAAAAUCUUGACUCAGCCACUGACUUCGGCCAUCAAAAUUAAAGAUAUGCUAACAUAUUAUUUAACUAAUUCAUAUGUUUUUGUUAAUAUGAAUUUUGUAUGUAGUUAUCAUCAUCACGAGAUCGAGGGUCAACAAGUGAUUGUAUGAGAUUUGAAUUGUUGGGAAACCUUAUUGGAGAUCCAUAUAUUGUUCAUACAAAUGUGUAUACACAAGGCAAAGGUGACAAAGAACAACAAUUCUACUUAUGGUUUGAUCCCACUCAAGAUUUUCAUACAUACUCCAUUCUUUGGAAUCCACAAAUAAUUAUGUAAGUGCUCUCUAUAUAUAUAUAUAAAAUCCCAACCUCUAUUCGCUUUUAUUUGUCACAAAUUUUCUGAUUGUAUUUCUACUUUUACUUGUCAGUUUUAACAUAUCAAGAAAAAACUUCUUUUUUCCUAUUCUAUUUUUGACAUUAAUUGCUUUUUCUUCAAAUUAAUUUCAGCACAUAAUGUAAACAUCAUUUAAUAAGAAUAUUAUUGUAAAAUAGUUAUAUUAUUACUUAUUUUCUUAAUUAGCGUAACAGGAUAAAAUGUGACAAGUAAAAGCGAAUGGAGAAAAUAUGAAUAUCUCACUCUUGUUUUUUCCCCCCUAAAAUUCUAAGAAGUUCUCUAUCUUAAUCUUGACUUUGUCUUUUUGAUAUUUCCGAUUAAAAUGACCAAUAUUAUAAUAUACCUUGAUCUAUUUUAAUUGUCAUUUUAGUUAAAUAAAUAAAUUUGAUUUUAAAUAAGUAUCGUUUUAAAAAAAUUAAGAAGAUAUUUAAAAAAAAAAAUAUUGUGAAUAACGUUCAAAAUAUUAACGAGAAAAGUAGAAACACGAUGAAAAAUUGAUACACACACACACACACACACACAUAUAUAUAUAUAUAUUAUUAAAAGACUAGUCUGAUAGUGAGGGAAUUCAUUUAGACCAUAAAUCCAUUAGUAUUUUUCUAUUUUUUAUUUUUUUAAUAUGAGACAAUUGUACAUAACAAUCGCCAACGCUUGAGAACCGAUGACCUUGUUGGUCACGGCUAACACUCCCCUCUUAGGUCCAGGCCACCACUCUUGGUACACAAUUCAUCACUCCGAGUCGCGGCUCCACACGUGAGUUGAUCCUUGUUGGUCACGACUGGGCCCAGUUGAUCACGACUGACACCCUCUUAGGUCCAGACCACCACUACUGACACACAAGCCAUCACUUUGAGUUACGACCCUACGCGUGGGACUCUUAAUGAAAACACCAAUGUUAUAAAUCAAACGAAAGCGCCCAAUCCAAAAUACUAAUCUGAUUCAAGAAUUGACAACAUUAUGUAUGUUUCUUUGUUUUUUACUAUUUUUUUUUUUGUAGAUUUUAUGUGGAUGGCACACCAAUAAGAGUUUUCAAGAACAUGAAGUCUAGUGGUCUACCAUACCCAAAUAACCAACCUAUGAGGGUGUAUGCAAGUCUAUGGAAUGCAGAUGAUUGGGCAACAAGAGGUGGACUUGUGAAAACUGAUUGGUCCAAAGCACCAUUCAUAGCCUCACUUAGAAAUUUCAAAGCCAAUGAUGCAUGUGUUUGGGAAUUUGGAAAAU
rnacentral:lncRNA from 1 species